GCUUCGUGUUAGGCAAAUGUUAAGUAUUUUAUUAAAUAAAUAAAAUGAAAGUAUGUAUUUUGCGUCUGUGUAAUGUUCCCUGCAAGAAGUCAUGAUAAAGGAAAUGGAUGACAGAGAUGUCGUAUGGUUAAAAGGACCCAUGGCCCGGCGAGGCAUGCUGCGAGAGCGGCAUAACAAGGCCGUUGGUCCGAAAUCUAACGUAAUGAAUUGAAGUACAGAAACUGCAAUUAAUGUAUUCUUCAAACAACAAGCAUGAUUAGAAUGUAUCAAAGCCACAUUAUAUCAGCCUAUCAACCUCGAUUGAAGACCAGUGACAUGGGCCAUUUGUUCAACAGAAUACAUAUGUACAUAUGUAAUAUGUUUUAAUACAGCAUUCUCAUGACAUGAAUUAAAGUGAGAUCAGAUCAAACCACAGAUCAUGUUGUAACAUUGGUGUUCCGGACCUGUGAGAGGCAUGUGCAGACUUGCAGAGCUAAAGGCAACCUACGGAGGCCCUGCUGACACAUUACUAAAAUACACUUUGGUAGUCAAUAAUUUUGACAGAAAAUCCCCGGACUGACCAACGGCAAAGUGCCCCGCCACGCCGUCUCGGCCCCAAACGUGCGUCCGAGAUCCGCAAGCUGUUCAACCUGAGCAAGGAGGACGACGUAAGCAGCCAUGUCGUCAAGCGCGUGCUGCCGCCCAAGGAGGGCAAGGAGAAUGCCAAGCCCAGAUCAAAGAACCCAGUUCUGAUGAUGGGAUCCUGGAGAAAUC
rnacentral:misc_RNA from 1 species